rnacentral:lncRNA from 1 species
UUCAUGGCGGGGCCAGACGAAGAUUGGUUUUCGGUGCGGAUAGGGAGCGAGAUCAUGGUCGAGGGCAAGUGGAAGGCUCACCGACCAGGACUUAUCGUAGAAGUGGUCAGGAAGAUAGAGCCGCUAAGUUGGCGAGGAUGGCGGACGAAGCGGACAAAGCCAUGGAGGUCCUAUUAAAGCAAAGAGAAGAUAUAGCCAAACAGAUGCUUCGGGUGGUGGAAUUACGGGACGAAGCAUCUAGCCACGAUCAGUCCGAAGGUCGAAGUGGGCACAAGGAGGUGCCACGCCGAGAGGGUAAGGAGCCGAAGCAUUCCGCGCAGGUUUCUAAGGAUCGUUCUCACGGUAGGAGAUCGAGGAGCAGAACUCCGUGGUCUCGAAGAAGGCAAUAAUGGCCGUUACCUCUCAGCAUCGAGAUGACUAUAGACAAAGGAGCAUAUCGAGCGAGAUUAUGCCCGUCAGAAUAAGGGACUAUCAACGUGAUCAUUCUCACCAUAAAGACAG